GAUGAACGCUGGCGGCGUGCUUAUCACAUGCAAGUCGAACGGAAAGGCCCAAGCUUGCUUGGGUACUCGAGUGGCGAACGGGUGAGUAACACGUGGGUGAUCUGCCCUGCACUUCGGGAUAAGCCUGGGAAACUGGGUCUAAUACCGGAUAGGACGAUGGUUUGGAUGCCAUUGUGGAAAGUUUUUUCGGUGUGGGAUGAGCUCGCGGCCUAUCAGCUUGUUGGUGGGGUAAUGGCCUACCAAGGCGUCGACGGGUAGCCGGCCUGAGAGGGUGUACGGCCACAUUGGGACUGAGAUACGGCCCAGACUCCAACGGGAGGCAGCAGUGGGGAAUAUUGCACAAUGGGCGCAAGCCUGAUGCAGCGACGCCGCGUGGGGGAUGACGGCCUUCGGGUUGUAAACUCCUUUCGCUAGGGACGAAGCGUUUUUGUGACGGUACCUGGAGAAGAAGCACCGGCUAACUACGUG
rnacentral:rRNA from 1 species